UGAGUUUGAUCCUGGCUCAGAUUGAACGCUGGCGGCAGGCCUAACACAUGCAAGUCGAGCGGAUGAAGGGAGCUUGCUCCCUGAUUCAGCGGCGGACGGGUGAGUAAUGCCUAGGAAUCUGCCUGGUAGUGGGGGACAACGUUUCGAAAGGAACGCUAAUACCGCAUACGUCCUACGGGAGAAAGCAGGGGACCUUCGGGCCUUGCGCUAUCAGAUGAGCCUAGGUCGGAUUAGCUAGUUGGUGAGGUAAUGGCUCACCAAGGCGACGAUCCGUAACUGGUCUGAGAGGAUGAUCAGUCACACUGGAACUGAGACACGGUCCAGACUCCUACGGGAGGCAGCAGUGGGGAAUAUUGGACAAUGGGCGAAAGCCUGAUCCAGCCAUGCCGCGUGUGUGAAGAAGGUCUUCGGAUUGUAAAGCACUUUAAGUUGGGAGGAAGGGUUGUAGAUUAAUACUCUGCAAUUU
rnacentral:rRNA from 1 species